GUUUUGCAAAGCUGUAAUUCUUUUUCCUUUAUGCUGCCUUCCACUUUCCUUCCAGUGAAGAGGUUUGAGAACAACAAGCAUUUCUGUGAAUCUUGCAACUGAGGUCUUUUUAUAGCAGAGUAAGUCUCCUGAAAUGCAAUAAUGCAGCUAUUUGAAGAUGUCAAAUUAUGCUGUCUGGAAUUCUGAGAUGCUUCUUUCAGUUGUACAUUGGAUGCUGGGAUAAACAAGCAGGAGAAGGAAGGAGAGGAGGAGAUGGACAGAUGACAGUCUCUUGCAGUUUGAGGCACAUGAAACUUGGCAUACUGACCUUCCUUUUAAGUGGUCCUGGAGGAAUGUGAAUAGACUGGACAAAACUUCAUAAAGACUAAAUUUUGCAUUGUGCGCACAUACUUUCAGCUCAAAGGGCAGAGGACACUCUUUGUUUCAAUCUUCCAAGUAAGUUAUAAAAUUGUUCAACUGAUGGUACAGAUGAAG